GUAGGUGGCAAGCGUUGCCCGGAAUUAUUGGGCGUAAAGCGCGCGCAGGCGGGUCCUUUAAGUCUGAUGUGAAAAGCCCACGGGCUCAACCGUGGAGGGUCAUUGGAAACUGGGGGACUUGAGUACAGAAGAGGAAAGCGGAAUUCCAAGUGUAGCGGUGAAAUGCGUAGAGAUUUGGAGGAACACCAGUGGCGAAGGCGGCUUUCUGGUCUGUAACUGACGCUGAGGCGCGAAAGCGUGGGGAGCAAACAGGGUUAGAUACCCUGGUAGUCCACGCCGUAAACGAUGAGUGCUAAGUGCUAGGGGGUUUCCGCCCCUUAGUGCUGCAGCUAACGCAUUAAGCACUCCGCCUGGGGAGUACGGCCGCAAAGGCUG
rnacentral:rRNA from 1 species